UACGUAGGGUGCGAGCGUUGUCCGGAAUUAUUGGGCGUAAAGAGCUCGUAGGCGGUGUGUCACGUCGGCCGUGAAAACCUGCAGCUUAACUGUGGGCGUGCGGUCGAUACGGGCAUCACUGGAGUUCGGCAGGGGAGACUGGAAUUCCUGGUGUAGCGGUGAAAUGCGCAGAUAUCAGGAGGAACACCGGUGGCGAAGGCGGGUCUCUGGACAGUUCCUGACACUGAGGCACGAAGGCCAGGGGAGCAAACAGG
rnacentral:rRNA from 1 species